UCGAGAAUCUUCGGCAAUGCGCGAAAGCGUGACCGAGCGAUGCCGCGUGCGGGAUGAAGGCCCUCGGGUUGUAAACCGCGAAAGUGAGGAGGAAGGCCCCGUGAAGAGCGGGUUUUGACCGAUCCACAGUAAGGACGGGCUAAGUUCGUGCCAGCAGCCGCGGUAACACGAACCGUCCAAACGUUAUUCGGAAUUAUUGGGCUUAAAGGGUGCGUAGGCGGCGCGUUAAGUCGGGUGUGAAAUCCCUCAGCUCAACUGAGGAACUGCGCCCGAUACUGGCGUGCUCGAGGGAGACAGGGGUAAGCGGAACUGAUGGUGGAGCGGUGAAAUGCGUUGAUAUCAUCAGGAACACCGGUGGCGAAAGCGGCUUACUGGGUCUCUUCUGACGCUGAGGCACGAAAGCUAGGGUAGCGAACGGGAUUAGAUACCCCCGUAGUCC
rnacentral:rRNA from 1 species